AAGUGCAAUGGCACUGCAAAAAAAGGUCACCAAAGAAUCAAUCCAUGAAGAGUGAAUCAUUCAAAUCCCCAAAACAUUCUGUUUUACCAUACUUUUCUCUCCCUUUUCGUUGCCAUCUGUGAUCCCAGGCUCCUGUUUGUUGAUGGUGUGCAGAGCUGCGAGGCAGUUUGUCCCUUCCUUGUUCCACGGUCAACCUCGGCAGCCUCUCCUCCCCGGCUUCGCUCCUUCCUCCUGAAAAUAAAGGGACUCAUUUGGUCAAACCCUCCAAACCUACCAACCAACCACGCCAGUCCAUCAGAAACUCAAACACCCGGAUCAACUCCCCCUUCAACACUCUCCUCAAGACCCCAAGCAAGUCUCCACGAUCUGUCCUUGCAAAAAUAAACUACAUUCCCUCAGCAUGAUACUGCUACCACCAUGCUUCACUGUGGGAAUGUUUGUUCAGGGUUAUGUGCGGUGUUAGUUUUCCACAAAACAUCAAGUUUUUUCAUGCAAUCACUUGUUUUGGUACAUCAUAUAAAUCCCUAUAGAUUUCAUUAUCGUCUGUGGAUAUAAUAACCCCUUCUAAAAAUGUAAGGGGUAUUGCGAAACCUUAACUUAAUCCUUACAUUUGUCCUGAAUUCCCAAAAGCACACUCUGAUGCAAAAAUAAAUGGU